AGCUAAUACCGCAUAAUAUCUUCUUCCGCAUGGAAGAAGAUUGAAAGACGGCUCUGCUGUCACUUAUAGAUGACCUUGCGGUGCAUUAGUUAGUUGGUGGGGUAACGGCCUACCAAGACGAUGAUGCAUAGCCGACCUGAGAGGGUGAUCGGCCACAUUGGGACUGAGACACGGCCCAA
rnacentral:rRNA from 1 species